CACGCCGUAAACGAUGGAUGCUAGCCGUUAGGCAGCUUGCUGCUUAGUGGCGCAGCUAACGCUUUAAGCAUCCCGCCUGGGGAGUACGGUCGCAAGAUUAAAACUCAAAGGAAUUGACGG
rnacentral:rRNA from 1 species